rnacentral:ncRNA from 1 species
ACCGAUAGUGAACCAGUACCGUGAGGGAAAGGCGAAAAGAACCCCGGCGAGGGGAGUGAAAGAGAACCUGAAACCGUGUACGUACAAGCAGUGGGAGCCUUGAUUUAUCAGGGUGACUGCGUACCUUUUGUAUAAUGGGUCAGCGACUUAUAUUCUGUAGCAAGGUUAACCGCAUAGGGGAGCCGCAGGGAAACCGAGUCUUAACUGGG